ACCUGUAGCAGAAUAAUUUUAUUUCUGUUUAUUUUAAAAUAAGGAGGAGAAAGCUAUCUGAUUUCAGGCUUUCUUGGGAAUCUUAUCCUAGUAAUUUGGACAAAUGGCUGGUAUCUAGAUAGCAACAAAUCUAUUUCUGAUAAUUAACCGACAGUGAAAAAUACUAAGGUCCCACCAUUUGUCAUUUGAAGUGAACUAUGUGCCCUGCUGGAGGGAGUGUCAUUACGCAGCUGCCGAGCUAGCAAACAAAACUAGAACAUCUCCAGAGAAGUUUCUAACCUUGGCUCCAAUUCCUUAGAUGAACUUCUGUGACUCUCACUGCGGAAAACUCCAGAGGACUUUUGUCUGUCCUCUGCCCAGAUCUGACACGGGUACACAGUUCAGCAUAAUUUUAUUUUUAGACCUAUGUCUAGAGACUAACUUUAAGAUAAUGUUCAUAAAAAGUUAUAAAUUCCUACUGAAAUGUAUAUGGUCAUAAAUUUUCCUUCCCUUCUGUUUCACAGCUGUUGCCUCCAAAAUGCUGUUUUCAAUUUAUUCGCAGUCCCACCUUCUUCUUUCUUUCGCCCAAACCCUUUCAGUUUGAAUCCACAGGACACUGACAGUUAAGUCACCCUUUGUCAAGUGGAUGAAUGUGCACACUUGCAUUUUUCUGGAGCCACCAAGCAUAUCAAAUCCUGUGUGAAGAGAAUUCCCAGUCUUUCUUUCCGGCUGCCCCAGCUGACAACAGGGGGUCUUCACUGAGAGACCCUCUCUCUGGGCAGCUUCAGUGAGAGCCACAUUUCCAGUUCCAGGGCUGUGAGGUGCUGUCAGAAAGCCGCAGAGAGCAGGUCGGCGUGGGUGGUAACACAUCCCAGAGGGUCAGGCACAGCAAGACCUCCCUCUUUGUCUCCACAGACUCCAACUUAAAGACCACAGCCACACAGCGGCCGGCAAAAGAGAGAGGGCUCAGGAGAAACCGACACCGCCAGCACCUUGACCUCAGACUUCCAGCCUCCAGUACUGUGAGAAAGUAAACUUCUGCUGUUUAAACCCCCCAGUCUGUGGUCCUUUGUUAUGGCAUCCCGAGCAAACAGAUACAACCUUGGUCAAGGAGUUGGGAGGGUAGGAAGAGAGUGUGUGAUGAUCUCUCUGGUUAAUUUUCCUUUUCUGUAAAAUGUGAACAAUAGUGUCUAUUUUUCCAGGACUCCCUGCCUCCAGGCGAGCCACUGGGGACGACAUUCAAAGAGAUCUUGUUCUUGUUCACAACAGAAUCAUUCCUUCGUGGACUUGCCUGGUCUGCUACUUGGAGCAACCUCAAGGCUGCAACUCAACAAGCAUCGUUAAAUACACAGGUAGAUAAUUAGCAAGUUUGUUGCCAGCUGCUACCUGGAGUUUGGACACAGAAAAGAUUUGAAGGCAGCCGAGAUUGCCUUCAGCACCAACUUUAGAGUCCUGGCUUGAAAGCUGGAACCUUUGCGUCCUCCUAGAGCUGGGGAUAUUCGAGUGUAAAGAGAUCUCAGAGGGGAUCUUGUCCAACGGCAUCAUUUCACAGGUGACAUGAGUGAGCCCUGAUGCCAGGCAGCAGGUUAGUUGCGGAGCUGGGGCUACAACUCAGUUCCCCCGCCCGGCUCCCAGCAAAGCAUUUCCCGGAGCAAUCUGCAAUGUGGAUGGUAACACCUGAAACUUUUUAAUGACCUAUAAUUCUUAAACGCAAAUGCACUUUGUUUACACUGACACGGCUCAGAUAAGUGGAGGAACACCAGGGUUCUUGGUCCUUGCACCGGUUUAGAUAAAACGACACAGACACACGUGG
rnacentral:lncRNA from 10 species